GACGAACGCUGGCGGCGUGCUUAACACAUGCAAGUCGAACGGAAAGGCCCUGCUUUUGUGGGGUGCUCGAGUGGCGAACGGGUGAGUAACACGUGAGUAACCUGCCCUUGACUUUGGGAUAACUUCAGGAAACUGGGGCUAAUACCGUAUAGGAGCUCCUGCUGCAUGGUGGGGGUUGGAAAGUUUCGGCGGUUGGGGAUGGACUCGCGGCUUAUCAGCUUGUUGGUGGGGUAGUGGCUUACCAAGGCUUUGACGGGUAGCCGGCCUGAGAGGGUGACCGGCCACAUUGGGACUGAGAUACGGACCAGACUCCUACGGGAGGCAGCAGGGGGGAAUAUUGCACAAUGGGCGGAAGCCUGAUGCAGCAACGCCGCGUGCGGGAUGACGGCCUUCGGGUUGUAAACCGCUUUCGCCUGUGACGAAGCGUGAGUGACGGUAAUGGGUAAAGAAGCACCGGCUAACUACGUG
rnacentral:rRNA from 1 species